GUCCCCAUCGUCUAGAGGCCUAGGACCGGAGCUUUUCAAGCUUCUAACACGAGUUCGAAUCUCGUUGGGGACA
rnacentral:tRNA from 1 species